rnacentral:rRNA from 1 species
GAUGAACGCUGGCUACAGGCUUAACACAUGCAAGUCGAGGGGAAACGACGGGGAAGCUUGCUUCCCCGGGCGUCGACCGGCGCACGGGUGAGUAACGCGUAUCCAACCUGCCUCUGACUGAGGGAUAACCCGUCGAAAGUCGGCCUAAUACCUCAUGGCAUCGUCUGCGGGCAUCCAACGACGAUUAAAGAUUUCAUCGGUCAGGGAUGGGGAUGCGUCUGAUUAGCUUGUUGGCGGGGUAACGGCCCACCAAGGCGACGAUCAGUAGGGGUUCUGAGAGGAAGGUCCCCCACAUUGGAACUGAGACACGGACCAAACUCCUACGGGAGGCAGCAGUGAGGAAUAUUAGUCAAUGGGCGGGAGCCUGAACCAGCCAAGUAGCGUGCAGGAUGACGGCCCUAUGGGUUGUAAACUGCUUUUAUGCGGGGAUAAAGUGAGGGACGUGUCCCUCAUUGCAGGUACCGCAUGAAUAAGGACCGGCUAAUUCCGUG